UCAUUGCAUAUACGGAUUAUUUAUUUUGUUUUUCACCUUUUCACCUUCUCUCACUUUGAAUUUGUAUUCUUCUAUGUUUAUGCAUUCGUCAUCUACAUUUUGCUGCGUGCGCGCGCACCUUACAGAACACACACACACAGUAUACACGCACAUAGAAACAUGUAUAGUAUCUUAAAAUACACGAAGAUAAGGCUUAAACGGCGCAGUGACAAGAAUAAAAAAAUGAAUGCUAUUCCGUACAUAACACGUUGAGAACUUUUCGUUUCUCCUUUUCUUUUCGAUUUUUAAAUUUCACACUCCGCUUGAUACCAGUGAACGUUUUUUACAUGGAAAUGUACAAAUAACGUUCAAUUGACCUUUUUCUAUGAACAAUUGUUAUUAUGUAUAGGAACUGAUAAAUUCUGUCAAAAAUAGUACGAAAAAUCAUAGCAUGCAAGUGGAGUGUGUUUCAUUACUGUACAUUGUUUACAAGCAUGCCCCUCUUGAUUUCUUGACGAGUUAUAGAAUGUGUGCUUUUCUUUAAUAUAUUCAUAGGAUAAUCACGUGAUCGGCUUACAUGACGGUUGGCUAGAUAAUCAAAAAACAAUAACCUAAAAUUAUUUUUAAAAGACGGACCAGCGCGCCAAAUGUACAAGUAUACACAUACAUAUAUAAUACCAUGUUGGGGAUGUGAUCUAAUGCGUAUUAUAUCGAUAGUAUUUUGAAGUUUUGUCAGGCGCUAUAUCAUGCCAAGUUUUUUAAGAAUAAUGAUGGCCGACCAGCGUCGGUAGCAUCUACUGCUGGAUGCACAGGUAUUCACAGAGCACAAAGAGUACUUGGCUAUAACAAACAUUUUAUUCAACUAUCAUUGUGGUAUCAGAUAUAAACGAACAUUUUUAUCAUCGUUAAAAGUACUAAACCGAAUGGCCUAAGAUCUUUCAAAGAGUAAUGGGCAAUGUGAGAUAUCUCAGUCUUAAUGACGGGAUCGAUGAAGCCGUUGUUACAAACCAGAAUGAUUGUGGUGCAGAGGAGUAUGUAGUUGACGAUACAAUAUAUCUGCUGUUGCUGUGUUGUAUUAGGAUGUAGACUGGGAGUUAAUGUAUAGUUCAGAAAUACUGAACUUAUAAAAGUGGACGCAGUUCUUCCAAGGGCAUCAGAACCCCACUUGUAACUCCGUCCAUACUUCCCAAUCCGUUUGUUCCAUGAACUGGUAAGCUGUUCACAGUCAUGCUACGGUCAUCUGUAACGACCUUCUAAUUAAAAAAUUGAUUCGAAUAGUGAUCCAUUAAUUAUUUUACGAAUGAAAGAGAUAACAGGAUUUUUAUAGGUAUUAACGAAAACGAGAAAUUGACUACAUACAUACAUACAUACAUCAUAUAUAUAUAUAUAUACAUACAUAUAUAUAUAUAUAUGUAUGUAUAUAUAAAUAUAAUUCACAUAUUUAUAUAUACAAAUGAAUUAAAAUGAGAUCUUAUAUAUAACAAAGUAAUUAAUACAAGAUAUCAGUACAUGCAAAAUUGUGAUAAAGUUUUGACAUUGCAUAUAUCAUUUUUUAUGAGUGUUAUUAACAUAGGAAUACUAAUAACAACAAGAUUUUUAGGAAUGUCGUACUUAAAUCUAUAUGUAAUGGAGUAAAUUUACAUUUUAUUACAAUUAUUUCUCAAAGAGUAAGCACUUUUAUCUUUAAACAUUAUAUUCUUAAAAUAAGAUAGAGUAUAACAACUAUAUUGUAUUCCUAUAUAUUCCAACAUUCCUCUAAAUUGUUAAUAUUGGUAUUCCCAUAACUUCUUUUACUAUUCAUAUACACAUUUUGUUUUCAUCGUAUAAUACAGAUAGAAUGGUGUCUACAAUUUUCCACCUGGAAAUAGUUACGGAAUAUUCAGAAAUAUUACUAUUAAUGUUACAAGAUCAUAUUAAUACAAUGAUAAAGAGAUGUUG